AUGUUGUUCUUCACCGGCAGAUCGGUCCUGGCGCGGGCAUUUGUGGAAAUAUCUAAGAAUGUGGCUACAAAAGGGGGCCCCCGAGUGAACUACUGCAAAGCAACGACUGCGCUGCGGCCGAAGAAGCCAAAGUCCACACGCAAAGAGGCGCAAUACUUUUCGGAUGCCAAGCGGGUGCGGGCUGUCGGCGGGAAGGGUGGCGAUGGAUGCGUCUCCUUUCUGCAGCUGUGGUGCAACGAGCGGGCCGGACCGGACGGCGGGGAUGGCGGCAACGGGGGCCAUGUGGUUUUCCAGGCCUCCAACGAUGUGCGCAACUUCAAUCACGUAGGCAGCGUGCUGCGUGCCGAGGAGGGGGAGCGGGGAAACGCCAAGGACUGCCAUGGCAAGAAUGCCAAGCAUGCCGUGAUCAAAGUACCAAUUGGCACGAUCAUCAGGAACGCUCAGGGUCUGAUUGUCGGAGAUCUGGGGCACGCGGACUUGAUGUUCGUGGCCGCGCGCGGUGGAGCUGGCGGCAAGGGCAACCGCUUCUUUACCACCGACAAGGAGACCAGUCCCAAGGUCUGCGAAUAUGGACCAACUGGCGAGGAUAUUUCCUACACCAUAGAGCUGCGCAGCAUGGCCGAUGUAGGCUUAAUUGGCUAUCCAAAUGCAGGUAAAAGCACCUUGUUGAAUGCCCUAACCCGUGCCAAGCCAAAGGUCGCUCCAUAUGCCUUCACCACGCUACGCCCCCACCUGGGAACCGUCCAGUAUGAUGAUCUUGUGCAGAUCACGAUUGCCGAUCUGCCAGGACUCGUGCCCGAUGCACAUCUCAACAAGGGCCUGGGCAUACAGUUCCUCAAGCACGCGGAGCGUUGCACAUUACUGCUUUUUGUGCUGGACGCCAGUGCACCCGAGCCAUGGACCCACUACGAACAGCUUAUGCAUGAGCUCCGACAGUUCGGCGGCAGCUUGGCGAGUCGGCCGCAGUUGGUGGUGGCAAAUAAAAUCGACAUGGAAGACAGCGCCGCCAACUUUGAGGAACUGCAGCGAAGGCUGCAGAAUCCUGUGCUCGGGAUUAGUGCCAAAAUGGGUCAAAAUCUCGGCCAACUGCUAAGCAGCAUUCGCUUGGGCUUCGACAGACACAAAGCGCAGGAAAGAUCUACCCGCUAGAGAGAAAGAAUGGCUCCAAAGAACCGCUCCCUGGCGGAGGGGAACAAAAUGUAACGGCUGGGGUUGUUGUGAGAAGAUAGACAGAUGUGGCAGAAAAAUACAACUAUAUUCUCGGUAAAAAGGACAUCGACCGGACCUUGGCAUAGGCAUUGAAAAGCAAAAAACCAUACACGCUCCAACAGACUCCAACGAGAGAGGAGGCGAAGGACCAGUAUUCUCAGAUGGGAAAGAGUAGGUCCAGGACCAGUACUCAGUAAGGAAAGAGGAGUAGAAGCAAGUCUGGACUCGCAGCAAAG